rnacentral:rRNA from 1 species
AGCGAACGCUGGCGGCAGGCCUAACACAUGCAAGUCGAACGAAGUCUUCGGACUUAGUGGCGGACGGGUGAGUAACACGUGGGAACGUGCCUUUAGGUUCGGAAUAACUCAGGGAAACUUGUGCUAAUACCGAAUGUGCCCUUCGGGGGAAAGAUUUAUCGCCUUUAGAGCGGCCCGCGUCUGAUUAGCUAGUUGGUGAGGUAAAGGAUCACCAAGGCUACGAUCAGUAGCUGGUCUGAGAGGAUGACCAGCCGCAUUGGGACUGAGACACAUCCCAAACUGCUACGGGAGGCAGCAGUGGUGAAUCUUGCGCAAUGGGCGAAAGCCUGACGCAGCCAUGCCGCGUGGAUGAUGAAGGUCUUAGGAUUGUAAAAUCCUUUCACCGGUGAAGAUAAUGACUGUAGCCGGAGAAGAAGCCCCGGCUAACUUCGUGCCAGCAGCCGCGGUAACAC